rnacentral:rRNA from 1 species
AGGGUUCGAUUAUGGCUCAGAACGUACGCUGGCGGCACGCCUAACACAUGCAAGUCGAACGAAGUAGCAAUACUUAGUGGCAGACGGGUGAGUAACAUGUAGGUAUCUGCCCUUUGGCCUGGAAUAACACGAGGAAACUUGUGCUAAUACCGGAUAAGUCUUUACGGAGAAAGCUUUAUGCACCAUUGGAUGAGCCUGCACUUGAUUAGUUUGUUGGUGGGGUAAUGGCCUACCAAGACUUUGAUCAAUAGCUGAUUUGAGAGGAUGAUCAGCCACAUUGGGACUGAGACACGGCCCAAACUCCUACGGGAGGCAGCAGUGGGGAAUCUUGCACAAUGGAGGAAACUCUGAUGCAGCGAUGCCGCGUGAGUGAAGAAGGCCUUUGGGUUGUAAAGCUCUUUCGUCGGGGAAGAAAAUGACUGUACCCGAAUAAGAAGGUCCGGCUAACUUCGUGCCAGCCGCCGCGGUA